AGGGAAUAUUGCGCAAUGGACGAAAGUCUGACGCAGCAACUCCGCGUGAAGGAUGACGGCCUUAGGGUUGUAAACUUCUGUUGAGUGGGAAGAACCGGUAUAUAAAUAAUAAGUAUAUACUCUGACGGUACCACUUUAGAAAGCUCCGGCUAACUACGUGCCAGCAGCCGCGGUAAUACGUAGGGAGCGAGCGUUGUUCGGAAUCACUGGGCGUAAAGCGAACGUAGGCGGGGAUGUAAGUUAGGAGUGAAAUUUAUCGGCUCAACCGGUAAUCUGCUUUUAAUACUGCAUUUCUUGAGUAUGGGAGAGGAUGAUGGAAUUCCAGGUGUAGCGGUGGAAUGCGUAGAUAUCUGGAAGAACACCAGUUGCGAAGGCGGUCAUCUGGCCCAAUACUGACGCUGAGGUUCGAAAGUUGGGGGAGCGAAC
rnacentral:rRNA from 1 species